CCUACGGGAGGCAGCAGUGAGGAAUAUUGGUCAAUGGCCGGAAGGCUGAACCAGCCAUGCCGCGUGAAGGUCAGUGCCCUAUGGGCGUUAAACUUCUUUUGUGCGGGAGCAAUAAUGGUCACGUGUGGCCAGACGAGAGUACCGUACGAAUAAGCAUCGGCUAACUCCGUGCCAGCAGCCGCGGUAAUACGGGGGAUGCAAGCGUUAUCCGGAUUUAUUGGGUUUAAAGGGUGCGUAGGCUGGGAGGUAAGUCAGCGGUGAAAUGCCCCCGCUCAACGGGGUGAAGUGCCAUUGAUACUGCCUGGCUGGAAUGCGGAUGCCGUGGGAGGAAUGUGUGGUGUAGCGGUGAAAUGCAUAGAGAUCACACAGAACACCGAUUGCGAAGGCAUCUCACGAAUCCGCGAUUGACGCUGAUGCACGAAAGCGUGGGUAUCAAACAGGAUUAGAUACCCUGGUAGUC
rnacentral:rRNA from 1 species